UGGGGAAUUUUGGACAAUGGGCGCAAGCCUGAUCCAGCCAUGCCGCGUGCGGGAAGAAGGCCUUCGGGUUGUAAACCGCUUUUGUCAGGGAAGAAAUCUUCUGAGUUAAUACCUCGGGAGGAUGACGGUACCUGAAGAAUAAGCACCGGCUAACUACGUGCCAGCAGCCGCGGUAAUACGUAGGGUGCAAGCGUUAAUCGGAAUUACUGGGCGUAAAGCGUGCGCAGGCGGUUUUGUAAGACAGAGGUGAAAUCCCCGGGCUCAACCUGGGAACUGCCUUUGUGACUGCAAGGCUUGAGUGCGGCAGAGGGGGGAUGGAAUUCCGCGUGUAGCAGUGAAAUGCGUAGAUAUGCGGAGGAACACCGAUGGCGAAGGCAAUCCCCUGGGCCUGCACUGACGCUCAUGCACGAAAGCGUGGGGAGCAAACAGGAUUAGAUAGCCCUGGUAGUCCACGCCCUAAACGAUGUCAACUGGUUGUUGGGAAGGUUCCUUCUCAGUAACGUAGCUAACGCGUGAAGUUGACCGCCUGGGGAGUACGGCCGCAAGGUUGAAACUUAAAUGAAUUGACGGGGUCA
rnacentral:rRNA from 1 species